AAAAAAAAAACCAAUUUAAUAAUAAUUACACGAUGACGAUGACAUAACAGUAGGUUAUAAUGUAAAUGUUUGUAAUGUGACUCUAUGUUGGUGUUAAAAAAACAAAAAUUGUUUCUACGUACCGAAAUUUGCCAUAAAAAUUCAAUACGCAAUAUUUAUUCAUUUUUUAAUAUAUAAAAUACAAUAAUUAUUAUUAGUUACAUUA